ensembl:lncRNA
GUGCGGGCGGACGCCACUGCUGGGAUCCACGCCUCUCUGAGCGGAGCUCUGCUGCUGUUGAACUCCUCGUUCCUGCUCAGCCAAUGGGCCGCCGCCAGCCAGAACCCCCCCGCGCUGUGUGUGUGCGUCGCCGUGGCGAUAGAGUACGGACUGCUCAGCUCCUUCAGCUGGAUGGCCAUCGAGGCGCUGCACCUCUACCUCAUGCUGGUGCGCGUCUUCAACACGUACUACACACGCUACCUGCUCAAGCUGUCCCUCAUAGGCUGGGGUGUACCUGCUGCACUGAUAAUCCUGUCCCUGGUGGUGAGAGUGGAAAACGACGCCUUCUAUGGCCUUGUGUCUUCCCAGGAUGUUCAGUUCUGUUGGAUCACAGACCAGGUGUUUGCGUACGGGAUGAACCUGACGUUCUUCAGCCUGGUCUUCCUGCUGAACAGCGGAAUCCUGAUCGCGGUGAGCGGCAGGAUCUUGCGUCUCCAGGGCCGUCGCCGUGGGACGCCGUCACCGUCGCCGUCGGCAACAACGCCCGGUCUCUCCUGCCGCAACCUGCUGACGGUCCUCGGACUCACCUGUCUGCUCGGGUCCACCUGGGGCCUGGCAUUCCUCAGCCUCAGCUACGCCAACCACGCCAUCCUCUACCUAUUCUGCAUUCUCAACUCACUGCAGGGCUUCUUCCUGUUCCUGUGGGUGUGUGGCACGUCACGGAAGGAGACUCAAGAGAAGAAGAAGAAGGCUCACACACACACACACACUCACGGCAC